UGCAUAGAAUUAAAGGUCCUAUGACUAGGGCCAAGACUAAGAGGAUGAAACAAGCUUUGGAAAGCCUGAUCAUAAAAAUCAAAGGAAAAGAAGACCAACGUGAGAUAGAGGCUGCACCUAAUUAGGUCACUUUCAUAUAAUUGGGUGAAGAUGCUUUGAGUCCAACCUGAAGACAACACUUUGGAAAGUCCAAAUCACAUGACAAGAAGCAUUCAUGGGAAGGC
rnacentral:lncRNA from 1 species